rnacentral:rRNA from 1 species
GAUGAACGCUGGCGGCGUGCCUAAUACAUGCAAGUCGAGCGAACAGACGAGGAGCUUGCUCCUCUGACGUUAGCGGCGGACGGGUGAGUAACACGUGGAUAACCUACCUAUAAGACUGGGAUAACUUCGGGAAACCGGAGCUAAUACCGGAUAAUAUAUUGAACCGCAUGGUUCAAUAGUGUAAGACGGUUUUGCUGUCACUUAUAGAUGGAUCCGCGCCGCAUUAGCUAGUUGGUAAGGUAACGGCUUACCAAGGCAACGAUGCGUAGCCGACCUGAGAGGGUGGUCGGCCACACUGGAACUGAGACACGGUCCAGACUCCUACGGGAGGCAGCAGUAGGGAAUCUUCCGCAAUGGGCGAAAGCCUGACGGAGCAACGCCGCGUGAGUGAUGAAGGUCUUCGGAUCGUAAAACUCUGUUAUUAGGGAAGAACAAAUGUGUAAGUAACUAUGCACGUCUUGACGGUACCUAAUCAGAAAGCCACGGCUAACUACGUG